rnacentral:lncRNA from 1 species
CAGGUUUAAAACUUCCCUAAAUAUCUCUGAACCAAUAAGAACUAAAUACCAUGACUCAGGAAGAUGGAAAUGCCACAAGGAAACCCAUUACUUUCUUUGUUAAUCUAGAGAAAUUAAUUUUUAAAGCGCAACAACAACAACAACAAAAGAUUUCUAAGAAAACCCCGUCUCUUUUGUGCUCUCCCAAGGCUGACCCGGAGGACUCCCUUUUCCAUGCCCUUUGGUGUGGUAGAAAGCAGCCUCCAGGCGGUAACUCGGAAGCCCUCUUCAGUGAUCACACAUGGAAUAUCGGUAACGUUAUAGUGUCUCACCGUGUAUCCCUGGCUGGAUACUUGCUAUGGACUACAGUGGCUUCAAACUCACAGGAAUCCUCAUGCCUCUGUCUCUGCAGUACUGGGAUUAAAGGCAUGCAACACCACACCCUGCCAAGACAGCUAUAUUUUCAGAUUGCUCCAGUGUUUAUUCCUUACUGUGAUCUCCAAAUACUCGGGGUAUGUCUGAAGUCUUGAAGAUCAGACGUCUUCAUCCGGUAAGCAUUAGGAAAGAGAUUGGUGUUUAACAGAAUAGAGCAGAAUGUAACAAAUUAAGCAGCACCAUCUACGGUCCAGGCUUUUUUACCGUUGUCCUGUUUGUGGACCUCUGGGGUGUUGAGCAUGCUGCGUGUUGGGCGAAAUGGGAACUGCACUGGCGGAAGUGGAUGCCUCUGACACUGCUAAUUAAGGAAUGUGGAACCCUUCCUUUCUGAGUCAGCACCGAG